rnacentral:rRNA from 1 species
UACGUAGGGGGCAAGCGUUGUCCGGAUUCAUUGGGCGUGAAAGGGCAGGCGUAGCGGCGGGGUAAGGUCUGGUGAUGAAAUCUCGGAAGCCUAACUCGAAUUCGUCACUGGAUACUGACUCUGCUUGAGGGUUGGAGAGGAGAGUCGGAAUUCACGGUGUAGGCAAGUGAAAUGCGUAGAUAUCGUGAGGAAGACCAGUGGCGAAGGCGGAUCUCUGGACAAAUCCUGACGCUGAGGCGGCGAAGGCUAGGGGAGCAAACGGG